GGNAGCAAUACACCGCUGACGACCGGCGCACGGGUGAGUAACGCGUAUGCAACCUGCCUUUGACAGAGGGAUAGCCCAUGGAAACGUGGAUUAAUACCUCAUAGUCUCUUUUUUCUUCCUGGGAAAUAGAGUAAAACGUCAGUGGUCAAAGAUGGGCAUGCGUCCUAUUAGGCAGUUGGCGGGGUAACGGCCCACCAAACCGAUGAUAGGUAGGGGUUCUGAGAGGAAGGUCCCCCACACUGGUACUGAGACACGGACCAGACUCCUACGGGAGGCAGCAGUGAGGAAUAUUGGUCAAUGGUCGAGAGACUGAACCAGCCAAGUCGCGUGAGGGAAGACUGCCCUAUGGGUUGUAAACCUCUUUUCUACUGGGAGAAUAAGCCUUAUGUAUAAGGUGAUGACAGUACAGUAGGAAUAAGCAUCGGCUAACUCCGUGCCAGCAGCCGCGGUAAUACGGAGGAUGCGAGCGUUAUCCGGAUUUAUUGGGUUUAAAGGGUGCGUAGGCGGCUUUAUAAGUUAGUGGUAAAAUUUCGGAGCUUCACUCCGGUCCGCCAUUAAAACUGUAGAGCUAGAGAAUGGACGAGGUAGGCGGAAUAAGUUAAGUAGCGGUGAAAUGCAUAGAUAUAACUUAGAACUCCGAUAGCGAAGGCAGCUUACCAGACCAUAACUGACGCUGAUGCACGAGAGCGUGGGUAGCGGAAC
rnacentral:rRNA from 1 species